rnacentral:rRNA from 1 species
GACGUAGGGCGCGAGCGUUGUCCGGAUUUAUUGGGCGUAAAGAGCUUGUAGGCGGUUUGUCGCGUCUGCUGUGAAAUUUCGGGGCUCAACCCCGAACUUGCAGUGGGUACGGGCAGACUAGAGUAUGGUAGGGGAGACUGGAAUUCCUGGUGUAGCGGUGAAAUGCGCAGAUAUCAGGAGGAACACCGAUGGCGAAGGCAGGUCUCUGGGCCAUAACUGACGCUGAGAAGCGAAAGCAUGGGGAGCGAACAGG